rnacentral:rRNA from 1 species
AGCGAACGCUGGCGGCAGGCUUAACACAUGCGAGUCGAACGGGCAUCUUCGGAUGUCAGUGGCAGACGGGUGAGUAACACGUGGGAACGUACCCUUCGGUUCGGAAUAACUCAGGGAAACUUGAGCUAAUACCGGAUACGCCCUUUUGGGGAAAGGUUUACUGCCGAAGGAUCGGCCCGCGUCUGAUUAGCUUGUUGGUGGGGUAACGGCCUACCAAGGCGACGAUCAGUAGCUGGUCUGAGAGGAUGAUUAGCCACACUGGGACUGAGACACGGCCCAGACUCCUACGGGAGGCAGCAGUGGGGAAUAUUGGACAAUGGGCGCAAGCCUGAUCCAGCCAUGCCGCGUGAGUGAUGAAGGCCUUAGGGUUGUAAAGCUCUUUUGUCCGGGACGAUAAUGACGGUACCGGAAGAAUAAGCCCCGGCUAACUUCGUG